rnacentral:rRNA from 1 species
CAUCGCCUCCUGCUUAUAGUAACAUAGGAGGUCCCGCCUGCCCUGUGACCAAAAGUUUAACGGCCGCGGUAUUUUAACCGUGCAAAGGUAGCGCAAUCAAUUGUCUUUUAAAUGGAGACCUGUAUGAAUGGCAUAACGAGGGUUUUACUGUCUCUUUUUUCUGGUCAAUGAAACUGAUCUGCCCGUGCAGAAGCGGGCAUAAUAACACAAGACGAGAAGACCCUAUGGAGCUUUAGACGCCCACCAACCGCGAAGAGCACCCCGACGACGGGCCACCAAAUAACGCGACCGUGGUAUAAACGUCUUCGGUUGGGGCGACCACGGGGGAACACAAAGCCCCCGAGAGGAUUGGGGAUCCAACCCUAAAACCAAGAGCCACAGCUCUAAGUCACAAAACAUUUGACCCAGAAUGAUCCGGCUCAUUGCCGAUCAACGGACCAAGUUACCCUAGGGAUAACAGCGCAAUCCUCUCCCAGAGUCCAUAUCGACGAGAGGGUUUACGACCUCGAUGUUGGAUCAGGACAUCCUAAUGGUGCAGCCGCUAUUAAGGGUUCGUUUGUUCAACGAUUAAAGUCCUACGUGAUCUGA